UACGAGGGGGGCAAGCGUUGUUCGGAAUUACUGGGCGUAAAGGGUCUGUAGGUGGCUUGCUAAGUCAGACGUGAAAUCCCUCAGCUUAACUGGGGAACUGCGUCUGAUACUGGCAAGCUUGAGUGCAGGAGAGGAACGCGGAAUUCCAGGUGUAGCGGUGAAAUGCGUAGAUAUCUGGAGGAACACCGGUGGCGAAGGCGGCGUUCUGGACUGCAACUGACACUGAGAGACGAAAGCCAGGGGAGCAAACGGG
rnacentral:rRNA from 1 species